GCAAGCCAAAACCCCAUCUUGUAUGGUCAAAACCCUCAACUCAUUAUCUCUAUUUGCUACUCCACGCCAGUCCUAAAUAAUCCCACUAGCGAUGUCCGCCGCCGCAGCCGCAACCGCCAGGUCUUUCCUUCGCUCCACCGCCAACCGAACUGUCAGACUUGCCUCCGGACCCAAACCCGGACUCAGAAGCCAACCAGCUUUGUCUCCAUUCCGUAUCUCGAAGCAAGGUCCUCUCUCCCAUCGCAUUUUCAGGUCGCCAGUGGAGAUGAGCUGCUGUGUGGAGACGAUGCUUCCAUAUCACACUGCGACUGCUUCAGCUUUGCUUACGUCAAUGCUAUCCGUCUCUCGCCGCAGCUAUGGUUGGACCCCUGAAGAUUGCAAUGAUGAUGUAUGAUGAAUGUGGGAGGAUUCAAGCGAAGUUUUGUACAUGCAAUCAAUGGGAAGAUGGAUGACUGUCCCUUGGAUGCGGUGCAUUGGUCAUAAUUUUUCUUGGAUUUCAGUGGACUUUUCGUGGUCUUUUCUUGAGACAUUCUCCUUGGUGGAAUGAGAAAAUCCAAAGGUUCUUCUACAAGCAUAUGCAAGUAGGUACCUUGUGGAAAUAGAUACAUUUUUGUAAUUUCCAGCUGCUGAACGUUGAUCAUUACUGAAAUGAUUUUUUUCCUCUAUUUUUUUUAAUGCAAGUGAUGGCAAUGCUCCUCUCUUCCUC